AUUGAACGCUGGCGGCACGCCUUACACAUGCAAGUCGAACGGCAGCACGGGGGCAACCCUGGUGGCGAGUGGCGAACGGGUGAGUAAUGCAUCGGAACGUGCCCAGUAGUGGGGGAUAACCCGGCGAAAGCCGGGCUAAUACCGCAUACGACCUACGGGUGAAAGCGGGGGACCGUAAGGCCUCGCGCUAUUGGAGCGGCCGAUGUCUGAUUAGCUAGUUGGCGGGGUAAAGGCCCACCAAGGCGACGAUCAGUAGCUGGUCUGAGAGGACGACCAGCCACACUGGGACUGAGACACGGCCCAGACUCCUACGGGAGGCAGCAGUGGGGAAUUUUGGACAAUGGGCGCAAGCCUGAUCCAGCCAUGCCGCGUGCGGGAAGAAGGCCUUCGGGUUGUAAACCGCUUUUGGCAGGAACGAAACGGCGCAAGCUAAUACCUUGCGCUAAUGACGGUACCUGCAGAACAAGCACCGGCUAACUACGUGCCAGCAGCCGCGGUAACAC
rnacentral:rRNA from 1 species